UGUGCUUACAUAAACCGCUCACCCCUGUCUGUGAUUUACUGGGACAUCCUCCUGCGGUGAAUAAAAACCAUAUAUCACGAAUGAUCAUUCAAUAUCCUCUAUAUAUUCUUGAGUUCAGGAUGGGAGAAGCAUGUUCUCUAUUCUCUAAUGACUGACAUGCUGCCAAUGACAUAGUUUCACCCCAAAGUGAAAUAAACUAAAAUCACAAAGCACAUCAAAUAUGAAGACUUUCAGGGACAACUGCGUGCCGACAAACUCCAAGCAUUGAAAAAGAAUUUGAAUGCACAGCAAGCUAUUUUUACAAGACCAAGAAAAGAGCUGGACAGCGUUGUCCAAGCAGCUAUGCGGUGAGUGAAAUUAUUGCAAAAAAACUUAAGCCUCAUACAGAAGGUGAGUUUGUAAAGGAGUGCACAGUUGCAACCGCCACUUUAUUGGUGACUGAGAAACUUAAAUUAUUUGAGCUUAUCUUGCAGAACAAUGUCAGAUCGAAUUCACGAUAUGGCUCAGAAUAUUGAAAUGUCUUUGAAAGAUUCUGCGACCGAAUUUGAGUUCUGUUCUCUGGCUAGUGAGACAACAGACGUAACAAAUACAGCCCAGCUGUCUAUUUUUUUUGCGUGCAAUCACACAAGGUUUUGAGACACGAGAGGAUUUGCUCUCUUUAAUAGCAAUGCAUGACACAACCAAAGGUGAAGAUCUUUUCUGAGAAGGCUUCGUCGGCAGUGCACGGGCUUCAGUUACCAUUUGAAAAAUUGAGUGGGAUUACUACUGAUGGUGCCCCAGCUAUGACUGGAUCACAAAACAGACUUGUUGGCCUGAUCAGGAAAGAAAUGAAUCUCCUCAGCCUUGAUCCAAGUAAGUUCAUUGUGUGUCACUGUAUCAUUCACCAAGAGAAUCUGUGCGAGCCGAGGGAGCAUGCUGAUCAUUGAUCCUUCUGCAAUACAAAGGUUGCCAGUGCCUGAGGAAGAAAAACAAGCCCAUACCAUCACACAGCCUCCACCAUGUUUAACUCUGGGCAUGAUGAACUUUCCUUUUAAAUUCUUCACCUCUCUUCCUCCAAACAUAAUGUUGCUUUCUUGGUAAAAAAAAAAGUUAUAUUUUGGAUUCGCCUGACCAAUUUGGUUGAAUAAAUCAUCAGACUUCUUCAAGUAUUCAGUGGGGAAAAAAAAAUCUUUGUGUUUUUUCUUAUUUUUUUUAACUGCCCAAAUACUUAUCUGCGACUGUAUGCCUUAUCCUCAUUAUACUUGUUACAAUUCCAAAUCACCUCAACAGUGUCUUCGGGGGCAUGUUACUGGCUGAAAGCAUGUCGGUCAAUAGGGAUAGCAGCUGACUGGUUAAAGACAGGAAGGAAGGCCCUGAAAUAGUGGUAACAAUUUCACCUUCCAGGUAAAAUGACCAAGUAAGUACUGAAAGCAGUAAUUACUAUAACACAACUGCAACUGAUUUUUCGACAUCCAUUUACUUCAUGUUUACUAGGCAAGGUGCCCAUGACUAGUGCUAGUUAAAUUAUAUAUAUAUAUAUAUUUUCUAGGUUUUAGACCUGAUCCCUAUCGACUGUACAAACUACAAAGAGAUUGACAGCUUCCAACACCACAUCCUUACUGCUGUGCAAGUAAGAGGCCGAUGUCCCUUCAGAAGCUUACUUGUUUCCGAGCAGCUUAAACGGCAUUGAGGUAGUAUCAAAGUGGUGGGGAGAAGACCAAAAAGAAGACCUUUGUGUUCAAAUCUAUUUACUACCAGAAAUUCCUCAGGGCUUUUUCCAUAGGUAAAACAUACUCUUUGGAAAAACUCUUAAAGCAUGUAUUCCUAAAUUAAAUGUAGAAUGACUGGGGGUGGGGAGUUAGUUGCCCAUUUUCCCCCUUGCUCACUAAAUGUGCCGUGUUCAAAGGAUUUUAAUGAGAGACCUUUACCACCAUGUUAUCUAUUUACUACCAACUACCAAAUGGGAGCCUCGACCAUGCCAGUUCUGCAGUAUAUAAAAUGGGAGCGCUGUGUUGUGUUUUAGUAUGUAAUACUGUCAUUACUUUAUGUAAUCAUCAUGGUGCAGGCAUUAUAACAUGCAUCUCCUGCCCUUGUCUAGGCUUAUUAUUAAGGCAUGCUCCUUCUUUACACCUCAUGUGGUUGGAAGUGGAAGAUGUCACGUGGUCUCCAAUGGAAAACACUUACUGAUUAAAGAGAAUAAAGAAGAUAACCAAAACAUUGAAAUCCGAUGUAGAAGACCUGGAAAGGAUGAAAUCCGGAAGCUGCUGGAUCAGUGGUCUGGGCUUUACCACUGCUUGAGGAGCCCCUGCCCAUUCCCAGGCUGCAAAGAAGACUUUGACUGGCCAGACAUGGAAGGAACAGAAGAUUUAUGAGAUGGUGAAGGAUGACAUAUCGACAUGUUGCCGAGGCCAUAAUCAUCCAACAAAGCUGCUUUUCUCAAAAGCUCCAAGUGCACCAGAAUCAAAAGAAAAGUUCCAAAAUUUCACUUACAUCACCAAUCAUGGAAAUACUGCCUUUGGACCUACCAGUAUGACUGUCCACCAUCAGGUACAUUGUUUUCUGAUACAAAAGAUCGGGCCAUCUAAGCUCCCUCUGUUCCUAGUAGCGGAUUGAUCUCAGAUCUUUGUCAGGUUGGGUCUUAAAGGUUCCAAAGUGAUUCUGCCUCAACAACAUGACUAGGUAGCCCAUUCCAUACCCUCACCUCUGUGUGAAGAAGUGACUCCUGCCUUCUGCUUAGGUCUAUCUCCACUUAAUUUCCAGCUGUGUCCUCUGGUCCUGAUUUCUGUACUGCGCUUAACCCAUCCUGUAAUUGCUGGUGUUACAGAGCAUAAACCCUAAAUGAGAGUCUUAACCAAUAUGCAAAAGAGCUGGGCUCUACUGCAUUCGUGGUUUUAGUGUUUUUAACCUCAUCUCACCAACAGGAGACAGAAUCCGUAAUGUAUCACACAGCAUUGCCCGUUACACCUCCCCCACCCCUUUAACGUUGGCUGUAGCCAAUUAUUAUUUAUUUCUUGGCAGACACCCGUAUCCAGGGCGACUUACAGCCAAUCUAUGAGAUCUUAAUUAUGGCACCAAUGUAACAAGGCAGUGGCUGGGUGUGAACUGGCAACCCCACACACUGCAGUGGCAACCCCACACACUGCAGUGGCAACCCCACACACUGCAGCUCCACAAUUGUGCAACACGGGAAAAAAAGUACAAUUUAGGAUUCUACACAGAAGGUCACAAUAAGCUGUAACAUUUGUCAAAAAGUUGAACCCAAACUAGCAACCUGUGGGAAUUCAUUUUAAUAACCUCCAUUCAGCUACACAUGAAAAUAAUAGUGUUCCUAUAACUGUUACCUUUGUAAGAGUUCCAUACCAGUUUGUCUCAAUGAUAUAAAUUUGCUUGAAAGUCACGGAUUUUAAGGAUCUCCAUGCUCAACAGGAUUAGGCUUUUUUUCACAUUUCUUCCCCGUCAAAAUUUUUGGUCUUUUUCAUUGUACAUCAUAAGUUUGAUACAAUAUGAUCACGACAACGGUCAGUAUUACAAACAAGAAUUCAUAUAUUAAAUCAAGUCAAUGGUAAUAAAAUAUUUACUGUUAUAAUUUAAUAGUCUAUUAAUGGUAAUUUAUUAUGAAAGGUAUUAUUUUUUCUAUUUCUUUUGUGUGCUGGAAUAUUGUGAUUUACAUUGCGAGUUCGUAUAUGCUUGUGAAGUCUGAAAGGAACACAUUGAUUGGCUGUGCUAACAGUCACUUCAGGCUGACAUUUGGAUUCUGGAGUCUGGAUUCUUAAAGAAGACUUUCAAGACUCAUCCUUCACUUUUCAAACACUCUCCUGUGGAAUCUGUCUGUUUGUAUUUAGAUACACAAAUAGAUACAUUACGGAAAUAAAAAUAGUACUUAUUUAAA